GAUGAACGCUGGCGGCGUGCUUAACACAUGCAAGUCGAACGGAAAGGCCCAAGCUUGCUUGGGUACUCGAGUGGCGAACGGGUGAGUAACACGUGGGUGAUCCGCCCUGCACUUCGGGAUAAGCCUGGGAAACUGGGUCUAAUACCGGAUAGGACGAUGGUUUGGAUGCCAUUGUGGAAAGUUUUUUCGGUGUGGGAUGAGCUCGCGGCCUAUCAGCUUGUUGGUGGGGUAAUGGCCUACCAAGGCGUCGACGGGUAGCCGGCCUGAGAGGGUGUACGGCCACAUUGGGACUGAGAUACGGCCCAGACUCCUACGGGAGGCAGCAGUGGGGAAUAUUGCACAAUGGGCGCAAGCCUGAUGCAGCGACGCCGCGUGGGGGAUGACGGCCUUCGGGUUGUAAGCUCCUUUCGCUAGGGACGAAGCGUUUUUGUGACGGUACCUGGAGAAGAAGCACCGGCUAACUACGUG
rnacentral:rRNA from 1 species